UAUAUUCGUCUUAAUAAGAAGUUUACUAACUGGUAGAAGCCAUCAUAAACAACAAUCCGAUUACGAAAAUGACCAGAUCGAAUUUUUUCAUGACGUCAAGACUGAUUGUCAGAUCUAGCAGAAGGCUCGUGGAGAAUAUGGGGUCACUAUCAGAUCCAAUAGAGCUAACAUUUGAUCUAAUAUACUUAUUGCAUCGUAGAAGUACCAACGUAACGCGUCUCUCCUCACUGACCGUUCUCCGACAGUUUUAAACGAAGUCAAGGAAAUUAACUUUAAAUGGAGCGUCGGGGCUCGCAGAAAGCACUUUCAAAACUGUUGUAGCACCGAUUAAACCAGCAACUCAUCUUUCACGUCGGCCAAUCUUAAACCGCGAACCAGACGCAUCCUAUCCAAUUACGUCACGUUGUUUUCUCACACAUCCCCUGUCACUGGUGGAAGGACAAAACUGCUCGUGUUUGUCCUUCCUGCUUCUAUAGGACUCAGUUCUGUGUUUUUAAUGCGAGAGAUUAGUUGAAAAUUUAAUCAUUAUUGACUUUAAAAAUAGGAAAAUAAAAGAUUUAGUGGUUGAGUUAAGUACUUAAUUUAACCCACAUAAUGGAGUCUUUACAUUUUUAUUUUUGUUUUUAAAUAAUAGUAAUUGUAAUUAUUAUAUAUUAGGUACAUCGUUUGCACUAUUUUAUUUUUAUACGGUUAAUUAUUGGCUCACAUCAAUUUUCUCCUAAGAUAAUAAAAUGAAAUAAU